rnacentral:rRNA from 1 species
ACGAACGCUGGCGGCACGCUUAACACAUGCAAGUCGAACGAGAGAAGAGAAGCUUGCUUUUCUGAUCUAGUGGCGGACGGGUGAGUAACACGUGAGCAAUCUGCCUUUCAGAGGGGGAUACCGAUUGGAAACGAUCGUUAAUACCGCAUAACAUAAUUGAACCGCAUGAUUUGAUUAUCAAAGAUUUAUCGCUGAAAGAUGAGCUCGCGUCUGAUUAGCUAGUUGGUAAGGUAACGGCUUACCAAGGCGACGAUCAGUAGCCGGACUGAGAGGUUGAUCGGCCACAUUGGGACUGAGACACGGCCCAGACUCCUACGGGAGGCAGCAGUGGGGAAUAUUGCACAAUGGAGGAAACUCUGAUGCAGCGAUGCCGCGUGAGGGAAGAAGGUUUUAGGAUUGUAAACCUCUGUCUUCAGGGACGAAAAAUGACGGUACCUGAGGAGGAAGCUCCGGCUAACUACGUGCCAGCAGCCGCGGUAAUACGUAGGGAGCGAGCGUUGUCCGGAAUUACUGGGUGUAAAGGGAGCGUAGGCGGGAUCGCAAGUCAGAUGUGAAAACUAUGGGCUUAACCCAUAAACUGCAUUUGAAACUGUGGUUCUUGAGUGAAGUAGAGGUAAGCGGAAUUCCUAGUGUAGCGGUGAAAUGCGUAGAUAUUAGGAGGAACAUCAGUGGCGAAGGCGGCUUACUGGGCUUUAACUGACGCUGAGGCUCGAAAGCGUGGGGAGCAAACAGGAUUAGAUACCCUGGUAGUCCACACCGUAAACGAUGGAUACUAGGUGUAGGGAACAUUAAGUUUUCUGUGCCGUCGCAAACGCAAUAAGUAUCCCACCUGGGGAGUACGGCCGCAAGGUUGAAACUCAAAGGAAUUGACGGGGGCCCGCACAAGCAGUGGAGUAUGUGGAUUAAUUCGAAGCAACGCGAAGAACCUUACCAGGUCUUGACAUCGUAUGCAUAGCUCAGAGAUGAGUGAAAUCUCUUCGGAGACAUAUAGACAGGUGGUGCAUGGUUGUCGUCAGCUCGUGUCGUGAGAUGUUGGGUUAAGUCCCGCAACGAGCGCAACCCUUACUGUUAGUUGCUACGCAAGAGCACUCUAGCAGGACUGCCGUUGACAAAACGGAGGAAGGUGGGGAUGACGUCAAAUCAUCAUGCCCCUUAUGACCUGGGCCUCACACGUACUACAAUGGCUGUCAACAGAGGGAAGCAAAGCCGCGAGGUGGAGCAAACCCCUAAAAGCAGUCUUAGUUCGGAUUGUAGGCUGCAACCCGCCUACAUGAAGUCGGAAUUGCUAGUAAUCGCAGAUCAGCAUGCUGCGGUGAAUACGUUCCCGGGCCUUGUACACACCGCCCGUCACGCCAUGGGAGUCGGUAACACCCGAAGCCUGUAGUCUAACCGCAAGGAGGACGCAGUCGAAGGUGGGAUUGAUGACUGGGGUG